rnacentral:rRNA from 1 species
GCCUGCCCAGUGACUAUGGGUUUAACGGCCGCGGUAUUUUGACCGUGCAAAGGUAGCGCAAUCACUUGUCUCUUAAAUAGAGACCUGUAUGAAUGGCUAGACGAGGGCUUAACUGUCUCCCCCCUCCGGUCAGUGAAAUUGAUCUAUCCGUGCAGAAGCGGAUAUAAAUACACAAGACGAGAAGACCCUUUGGAGCUUAAGGUACAAGCUUACCCACGUUAAACGACUUUAUAAGAAGCAAGAACUUAGUGGCAAUAAGACUUUACCUUCGGUUGGGGCGACCAUGGAGGAGAAACAAGCCUCCAAGUGGGCCGGGCCAAACCCCCUUCCCUAAAGCCAAGAGACACAUCUCUAGGCCGCAGGACAUCUGACCAAAAAUGAUCCGACUAUAAAGUCGACCAACGGACCAAGUUACCCAAGGGAUAACAGCGCAAUCCCCUCCCAGAGUCCAUAUCUACGAGGGGGUUUACGACCUCGAUGUUGGAUCAGGACAUCCUAAUGGUGCAGCCGCUAU